rnacentral:rRNA from 1 species
CCCUUAGAUGUCCUGGGCCGCACGCGCGCUACACUGAGUGUCUGAGAUACGAGUCUGCCUGGUCCGGCAAGGUCUAGGUAAUCGCUAAAAGACACAUCAUUCUUGGGAUAGAUUAUUGCAAAUAUUAAUCUUGAACGAGGAAUUCCUAGUAAGCGCAAGUCAACAGCUUGCGUUGAUUACGUCCCUGCCCUUUGUACACACCGCCCGUCGCUACUACUGAUUGGAUGUUUAAGCGAGGUUCUCGAACUGCUAGCGACUUAGCUUCGGUGAGGUCGCAGUGUGGGAAGUGAACCUAGCUUUGGUGUCUAGAGGAAGUAAAAGUCGUAACA